UAGGGAAUCUUCCGCAAUGGGCGAAAGCCUGACGGAGCAACGCCGCGUGAGUGAUGAAGGUCUUCGGAUCGUAAAACUCUGUUAUUAGGGAAGAACAAAUGUGUAAGUAACUAUGCACGUCUUGACGGUACCUAAUCAGAAAGCCACGGCUAACUACGUGCCAGCAGCCGCGGUAAUACGUAGGUGGCAAGCGUUAUCCGGAAUUAUUGGGCGUAAAGCGCGCGUAGGCGGUUUUUUAAGUCUGAUGUGAAAGCCCACGGCUCAACCGUGGAGGGUCAUUGGAAACUGGAAAGCUUGAGUGCAGAAGAGGAAAGUGGAAUUCCAUGUGUAGCGGUGAAAUGCGCAGAGAUAUGGAGGAACACCAGUGGCGAGGGCGACUUUCUGGUCUGUAACUGACGCUGAUGUGCGAAAGCGUGGGGAUCAAACAGG
rnacentral:rRNA from 1 species